rnacentral:lncRNA from 1 species
AAUUAUAAGAAGAGAAAGACGAGAGAAGAUAUGAAGUCUACUAGAAUGAGAAGUCAUCAAUACAUCUGCCAGCGGUAUAUCUAUCCUAAACUGCACUAGCAUAUAGAGAAUUUAUUAAAAUAUAUUAAGUAGAUAUAUUAGAUCUGAAAGGAGAAAGAUAAGAGAAGAUAUAUAAUAGAGAACGAGGAGACAAGAUUAAUAUAGUAGGUCUGAGAGAAAAGACAAAAAUAAGAAAAGAGAAGAUCAAUGUAUUAGAUCUAAGAGGAGAGAAGAGAAUAUCCAAUUAAUGUAAAGUAAUGAGUAUAUAUUUCAGUGUAUGUACUAUUUUUUGGGGUUUUGUUUAAUCUAAAGUUGGUUUGCUUGUGUAGAGAGAAAAUAUUCACAAAUAAAAAGAGAGAACGUUGAGUUAUUUUAUAAAGAGAGAAAAUUGUAGAGAGAUACAUUGUAAGAGACUGGGUUUCU